GGAAACCGGAGCUAAUACCGGAUAAUAUUUCGAACCGCAUGGUUCGAUAGUGAAAGGCGGUUUUGCUAUCACUUAUAGAUGGACCCGCGCCGUAUUAGCUAGUUGGUAAGGUAACGGCUUACCAAGGCGACGAUACGUAGCCGACCUGAGAGGGUGAUCGGCCACACUGGAACUGAGACACGGUCCAGACUCCUACGGGAGGCAGCAGUA
rnacentral:rRNA from 1 species